rnacentral:rRNA from 1 species
UGGGGAAUCUUGCGCAAUGCGCGAAAGCGUGACGCAGCAACGCCGCGUGGGGGAAGACGGCCUUCGGGUUGUAAACCCCUUUCAGGAGGGACGAAGGUUCGGCGGUGAAUAGCCGUCCGGACUGACGGUACCUCCAGAAGAAGCUCCGGCUAACUACGUGCCAGCAGCCGCGGUAAUACGUAGGGGGCAAGCGUUGUCCGGAAUCAUUGGGCGUAAAGCGCGCGUAGGCGGCCCUGUAAGUCCGUUGUGAAAGUCAAAGGCUCAACCUUUGAAAGCCGAUGGAUACUGCAGGGCUAGAGUCCGGAAGAGGCGAGUGGAAUUCCUGGUGUAGCGGUGGAAUGCGCAGAUAUCAGGAGGAACACCAAUAGCGAAGGCAGCUCGCUGGGACGGUACUGACGCUAAGGCGCGAAAGCGUGGGGAGCGAACAG